rnacentral:lncRNA from 1 species
UCAGCAAACAGCAGAAGAAUGAGAAUAGGAAGAAGGGACUUCUAUAUUCCCUAUUUGGCUCACAGAUAAUAUGGUUUUGCCUUACAGUAUACAGGGUAAUGUAUUUAUUAAAUAUAUGUCCAGCCAUAUGUUUGUGUUCAUUUUAAAAUCAAUGUCCGUAUCUUAUAAUAUGCUAUAAACAGAACGAAUCUAUAUCCGUGUUUUUCUCAGAUCCGAUGACUGUUUAUGCCCUGUUCUGUAUUAUAUCACACACUUUCCUUUCGGUGUCAUGUGUUUGUACAGUAAAACAUGCAGAACUAAACAAGUAUCCGACAAACCAGUUUUGUAUUAAUUCAUCACAUUCCCAACGAGUGUUUUAUAUGCAUCAAAUACGUGGCGAUGCCUUAAUAGCAAAAUAGUCAAAACGGUUUUAAUGGAAACUUAUAUAGGCGCAUAUUAUGGAUCUUUUACUUCACAUUGAAAAAAACAUUUCAUAAAAGGACACACAUUGGAAACAUUUGUGUGCCCUGACUUGACAUGACACAUAUUUGAUGAAAGGACACGACACACAUUUUAGGCUAGAUAAGCUAUUGUAAUAUUUUUAAUUGUCAAUGUGCCCCACCUUUGUAGCAAUAUACCAACCUCCCUUCGCAUAUUUAUGUGUAUGCAAAAACGUAGAAAUUUUCUGUGUGUUUUGUGAACUGGAAUAUAGAGAUAUGCAUCUUUCAGAUAGAGAGACAAAGCCCGGUCUUGGGGUUUUACAAGAUUCAAAACUUUUGUUUAAGUGUCCAUUUUGAAAUGUUGCUUCCUCAGAUACUGGUUGAGAGGUUUCAAGUUUAUCGCAGUUCUUGAAUCGCCUGUUUUCUUGGGUACCAGAAAAAGUGUACUAUAAAAACCUUGAUGUAUCUCUGCUGAGGUACAAUCUCUAUUGCAUUUUUUCUAUUUAAUCUUCUACCUCUGCUAAAAUAAUAGGUAGAUUCCUCGCAUUGACAGAAGUGUGUUUUCAACCUGUCAAAUAAGGAGUUUCUUGAAAUUAUAAUUUCAAACCCUCUUGUAAAGUUUUCAGUACCAAUUGAUCGUCUGUUAUUGAUUCCCAUUCCUGAAUAAAAUGUUUUAGAAAGAUAAGAAGUUAGCAUUAUCCUUUAACUCUACUAACCGCAAUAUAGAUGAUGUUCUUUCACUAAAUUAUUCAAAAUUUGGUGACUUUGUCGAACGCAUCUAUCCCAUUGAACUAGAGAUAAAGGAUACAACAAAUACAGUUAAGUCGGCCUCAUAUAUUGACUUACAUCUAGAAAUUGAAAAUGAGGGUCGAUUGAAAACAAAACUGUACGACAAGAAAAUUUCAGCUUUCCAAUUGUGAACUUUCCAUUUCUAGGUAGCAGUAUUCCAGCAGCACCUAUAUCUGUGUAUAUGUCGUGUACAUUUUAUUAUUUUGUACAGGUUAUUACUUGUACAAAAACAUUGUACAAGUAAUUACUUGUAGCCUUCAUACAAGUUAUAACAUGUACAAAUACAAUUGUACAAGUAAUUACUUGUCCAAUUUUUAUUGAGAAAAAGAUAAUAACUUGUACAAUUCAUUUCUACCUAGACCUAUUUGCUGUUCACAACAAAUGUUCCUUUUAACAAUUAAUUUAUUACUAAAUGCAAAAGAAUAAACUUGUAACAUUUGAGAACUUUUUAUAUAAUAAAAGUGCUAGCAAAUCUGUUCAGUUUAAUGGGCAUAUCUAAAGUGUAAAGAGGGAAAACACCGUAGAAAAGAAAUUUCAUGAUGAAAUUAAUAAAUUGAAAAAUGACAAUAAUAUCUUCUAAUAAUAUAAUUCAGUAUUCACACAUGAAGGAUACAGAGAGACUAUAAGGAAUGUAAAGGAAGCAAAAUAAAGUUCCAAAAAACAGCACUUAAAAAAUAAUUCUUGAGACGGUAUGAUGUUUUGUUGAAUGUAGCAGGAAUUAAAAAAAAACUCAUUUGCAAAUGAGACGAAAUUAUUUGUUUAGUUGAUGAACUUUACCCUCUGAUUAGAACAGCACAUUCUGGAGUUGGUCAUGGAGGCAUAUUGCCAAGAGCAGCUGAGUAGCUAACCAUGCAACUCACUUAUAUUUGUUUUUACUUUUGUGAGCUACUCAUAUCCUGCAAAGUGACAAUUGAAGAGAAUUUACAGCUAUUGUAAUUAUAGAACCUACCGUAAACUUCUUGGCCACGGCUUGAAUUAAACCCUAAAUGUCAGGUGUCCAUUUAAAGAGAAAACGCAGAAAUAAAGUCAUGAGACGCAUGAGAAAAUAAUUGUAGUAGUCCGUAUUAAAUUGGCACUAGCUGUCAAAUUCAUGUUCACCGAUUUGUCUUAAAAGUUAUUAUCGAAGGAAAUACGGUACGCAUGCGCCAAGUUUAAACCAGCGAAAAAUUUAGAGAGGAAAAAAGUUGAAAAAAAUCUUCGAGUUGGGAUUUAUAUUGAUUAUAUCAAUUCAAGAACAUUUAUAUGUGAUAUUACUUGUGGGAUUAUAUGUUUCUGAACUGAAAAAGUGCAAUAAUGAGUAGUUUCGAUAUGUUAGAAUUUGAUCCACUGAAUGAUGAGCGCAGCAGACACAUACGUACAGUUGGUGAUGGUUCCGCAUAAUCUUUCUAUAUGUAGUCAGUUGGACUUAUUGCAUAAGGAAGUGAAACCAAUAUUACUGUACGGUUGUGAAGUAUGGGAUAUUGAAAAUAAUGACAUUAUUGAAAAUAAUGACAUUAUUGAAAGGGUACAACUAAAUUUUGAAAAUUAUUAAUUUACAAAAAACUUAAAAUUAUCAUAGUUUCAUCUAACUUUGAUAAAAAAAUAUCCACUCGCAUAAUUUAAUGAAAACUGAAUUUCACAACCAGUUUCUGUUGAAUUUUCAACCACAGAGCAAAUGAAUAUACAGACUUUUAUUUGACUUUAUGAAAUUUUUUACAUAGGUAAUAUUUAUUAUUUAGAUAGUAUGCUCUUACAUUUUAUGCUUUGUGAUAAAUCGACAUGCUAAGUAGCCUUGUAGAUUAAAAAUAUAUGUUUAUCAUCUUUUUACCUGUUUAAGAAUGAUUUUUUUUGGAUCGAAUCAGUCAAUCAAAUGAUAUACCUUUGUUUCACUUUCAAUGUGACAUUUUUGUCCUUAUUAAUCUCUUUCAAAGGGGUUAAAUUGAAGUUCACAUGAAUACAGAUUCAAAAAGGUCGAAGUAUUCAUUUGCAAGUGAAUAAUUUAUCAUCAUUGAUUCCUUCGCUUAUUUUGACAAAUUAAACCAUACUGGCUGUUUAAAGCGAAAAAGUUAUUUCACUAUUUCACUUUCAUUGAUGAUUGAACAAAAACAAUAUCAUAUGUUAGAUUUGUAUAUAUCUCGUAGCUAGUGCCCCUUUAAAGUGGCAACAAAUUAUAUUUGUACAAGUAAUAACUUCUAUGAUGGCAUCGUACAGGUAAUUACUAUUACAAAGUUUUUGUACAGGUAGUAACAUGUACACGACAUAUAUAUCUCCCAAUUGAUACGAUAUUCCCAUGCUUGCAUUUCGGAGGUUCCUAUCAUGAUUUUCUUGAUAGAGGGUUGUUGCUCACAAGGGAGCUAAUAAAUCAAGAGUUCCAAAUGGUGAAAUUGAAAUCAUCUCUUAGUAAAUUUAACGGACGCCAUCACGAGUUGGUUGACUGUUAUGAAUAACCGUUUCGCAAAUGAUAUCAGAUGUAUUCCUUACUUCGUAACUACAAUCCCCUUCCCUUUCAUAAAUGUGACCGACCGAAUUAGACUAUUUAUCGGAAUUGUUAUCUCAUAAGCAACACGACGGGUGCCACAUGUGGAGCAGGAUCUGCUUACCCUUCCGGAGCACCUGAGAUCACCCCUAGUUUUGGGUGGGGUUCGUGUUGUUUAUUCUUUAGUUUUCUAUGUUGUGUCAUGUGUACUAUUGUUUGUCUGUUUGUCCUUUCCAUUUUUAGCCAUGGCGUUGUCAGUUUAUUUUCGAUUUAUGAGUUUGACUGUCCCUCUGGAUCUUUCGUCCCUCUUUUAGGUGUGUAUCUUCGCAUUGUGGCCCCUGUGGAUUUUUCAAAUAUGAUAGCUAGUGUAGAAUAAAAUUCCUUUUUGGAUAGCUGAAGAUUAAAAUAGCUUUCAUAGUGGGUAUAUAGGAUCAUCAAGAUUAUGUUAUGUAUGUAACAUGUGCUGUUUCCUGUAUGACAGUCCGUAAUUUCAUAUUUCAUAUAUUCAUAUUGUAGUGUUUUUUCCAACUUUUUGUCGCACGAACUUUGCGAUUAAAAUUGGGCGAAAGACAACCCCGUAGUAUAUGGCAUUUUAUCAUUUGGUAGAUUAAUAUCAACAGCUCCUGAAGAGGUAUCACUCAAAGGCGUUCAAAUUCUAGUUUGAACCAAAUUUUAAGGGGGAAUAUGUGACAUGUUUACUACCAUUUUUGCAAUAAGCUAUGGUAAAUAGAUGCAGAAUGUUGUCAUGGGUACACACAAAAUGAAAUAUAUUUCACCAUUUUAACUUUUAAAACUUUUAUAACACAAACAGUUAGGUUAAUGAAUUAUAAUAGCUAUCAAAGGUACCAGGAUUAUAAUUUGAUACGCCAAACGCGCGUUUCGUCUACAUAAGACUCAUCAGUGACGCUCAGAUCAAAAUAAUUGUAAUGACAAAUAAGUACAAAGUUGAAGAGCAUUGAGGACCCAAAAUUUCAAAAAAGUUAUGCCAAAUUCAGCUAAGGUAAUCUAUUGCCCGGAAUAAGAAAAUCCUUAGUUUUUCGAAAAAUGCAUAGUUUUGUAAACAGGUUAAAAAUGACCAUAUAAUUGAUAUUCAUGUCAACACCAAAAUGCUGACAACUGGGCUGGUGAUCCCCUCAGGGACGACACGUCCACCAACAGUGGCAACGACCCAGUUGUGUAAAUAGUUAUUAGAGGUACCAGUGUUAUAAUUAAAUACGCCAGACGCGCGUUUCGUCUACAUAAGACUCAUCAUUGACGCUCAAAUCAAAGUAAUUUCAAAGCCAGGAAUAGAAGAUGAUACUUUGUGGUUCAAUUUUAAUGGGUUUUUUCCUACUGUGGAGUGCUACCUAACGUUCUGGAAUGAAAACUGAAAACAAAACGUACAAAUUAAUUGCGUUCUAAGCAUUUUCCUGAAUUUACCUUCAUUAGGAACGCCCAAAGACGAAUAUUUGAAAGCCAGGGAUGUAUAAAACCGAAACAUUUGAAGAGCUAUAUCAUCAGAAUUUACGUAACGGAAUAUCAUAAUCUGUCCAAGGCCAACUUUGCAUGAGGGAGUUGAAACCUUAGUUUCUUCGUAAUUUUAAAAUUUAUAAGGGGCAAAUUUAGAAAUUAUAAAGAUCUUUUACAGUACAUACAAUCUAAGACUCUCUCAUUUUGCAAUAGUAUCAAAACAUUUGACUUUUCUACACUUUACACAAUUAUUCCCCAUUCCAAACUAAAAGGCAAAUAGAAGUUUAAGUUUCUUGUAUAAUUCGGAGUUUAGUAUGACGUCCAUUACCACUGUACUAAUAUACAUACUUUUUAAGGGACCAGCUGAAGGACACCUACGGGUGCGGGAGUUUCUCGCUACAUUGAAGACCAUUUGGUGGCCUUUGGCUGUUGUCUGCUCUGUGGUCGGGUUGUUGUCGCAUUGACACAUUCCCCAUUUCCUUUCUCAAUUUAUGUUGGUAUUGAUUUUCUUCAUAAAACAGAAUGUAGAUACAAGUAUUUGGGGAGGGAUAAAUCCUACUUUGUAAAGGAUCACUCUUGAUUCAAACAAAAAAUUCUCUGAAACUGACAUUAUCAAGAUGCUUGAUUUCUUGCUUGACAACAUAUUUGUUACGUUCUGAGGACGUGUUUUUGAACAGACUGUCGGCAUUCCAAUGGGAACCUAUUGUGCCCCUCUUCUUGCCGACUUGUUUCUUUAUUAUUAUAAGGCUGACUUCAUACAGGAACUUCUUAGGAGGGAGAAAGAAAAGAAGUUAACAGUAUCCUUUAACUUUACUUUCCGCUAUAUAGAUGAUGUUCUCUCACUAAAUAAUUCAAAAUGUGGUGACUUUGUUGAACUCAUCUAUCCCAUCGAACUAGAGAUGAAAAAUACAACAGAUGCAUAAAUCUGCCUCAUAUCUUGACUUAAAUCUAAAAAUUAACAAUGCGGGUCGGUUGCAAACAUAACUUAACGUCAAUAGAGAUGAUUUUAGCUUCCAAACUGUGCAAUUUUCAUUUAUAUGUAGCAGCAUUCCAGCAGUGCCUGCAUACGGAGUAUAUCUCCCAAUUAAUGCCAUAUAUUACGGGGUUGUAUUUCCUAUUAUACUUUUCCUGAUAGCGGUUACUGCUCACGAGGAAGCUGUUAAACCAAAGGUUCCAAAUGGUGAAGCUGAAAUCAUCCCUUCGUAAUUUUACGGACGCCAUCACGAGUUGCUUGACCGUUAUGAAUAAUCGUUUCACAGAUGAUAUCGGAUAUGUUUCUUAUACCGUAAUUAUAACCUACUCACAUUUUUUCACCACGAAAAUUACCUAUCGAAUCAAACUAUUUACCGGGUUUGUAAUUACAUGAGCAACACGACGGCUGCCACAUGUGAAGCAGGAUAAGCUUACCCUUCCAGAGCCCCUGAGAUCACCCCCAGUUUUUGGUGGGGUUCGUGUUGCUUAGUUUUUAGUUUUCUAUGUUGUGUCUUGUGUACUAUUAUUUGUCUGUUUGUCUUUUUAAUAUUUUAGCCAUGGCGUUGUCAGUUUAUUUUCGAUCUAUGAGUUCGACUGUCCCUCUGGUAUCUUUCGCCCCUCUUUUAGAAUGUUUUGUUAUUAAUAAUGUCAGUACAGACGUACUGACUACUAUGCUGAUGAUACCCUCAGGGACAGAGAGUCAACCUGCAGAGGAACCGACCUAGUGCUGUUAAAAAAAUGAAAAUAGAGAAAUAUUAAUGGAACCAAAUUCAAAAAUGGAGGAUAUAUUUAUGGAACCAAUUUGCAGAGUUUUGAUUGUUGAUGGAAAUAAUAUGCCGUAUAGUAUCCCAAAGUCAUAAAUGUAUAGCGUAUGCUACCAUUUUUAUUUUGAUAAGCAUUGUAAAUUAUUUUUUAGGCAAUUUUUCAAUUUCACAUUGGGAAUAAUGGUAUAUAGGGUUGGAAAAUCAAAAUUUGGUAAAAAGAUCGAUAUUUAAAAUUAUCCAGAAGUUUUUAAGAACCCACAUAUGGUAAAUAUAAGACACUCUUUCAUUGCGGACGAAAUAUUUGUCAAUCUAAUGGUCACUUCUUUCGUCGAAUUUGCAGAAGAGUCAUUAAUUUGCUGCUUUUUUUAAGAUAUGGUAUCUAAUACAAUAAACAAAGUAAGUCUUCAGAUUUUCUGUUCAAUGUUAUGUUCAUUGAAUUCAUGAAGAACUUAUGAUAAGCCAGACAAAGGAUAUUUUCAUUGUAUGUGGGAUUACCCAAGUGCUCAUUAAAUUAUUCAUAAUUCCGUUUAUACAAGAUGCUUGUAGUGUUAUUAUUUACAUACAAAUACAAUAUUAUUUGGAGAACAAAUUCCUGGAUAAUUUGAUAAUACUGAUCUCCCUCUUAUUUCUUAUGUUUACAAAACAUCUACUAGAAAAUAAGUGUUUAAUUAUAGUUAAAUGAGUAAAGAUGUAAAUAUCAGUGACAAUACACAUACGUCAUGAAAGUAAAGUAAUUCCGAAUACAUUUAUGUUCCAGUUCUCAUGUCACAACAGGAGACGUUAACAUCGUUCGUGAUCGAGAGUUGAAAUCAUUCCGCAGUGUAGGAUCUAAAUAUUGUUUCUCGUCAACGAUUAAGUGGAAUGAGUGUCGUUACAUCAGCCAUGACUUACUCCGUACUUAAUGCUUUAAAUGAAUAAGGAGAGAAAAGCUAACAAGAAAUCCGUUGACUCUUUGACCCAAUGUCUCGUAUCAAACAUUAACUAAAUGAACUCGUCAAGGAAUUUACUUUUGUACAGGCUGUAAAGCUGCUAUUAAUAUAAUUUGUGUUUGACGUAAAUUGUACAUUGAGGUUCUGCAAAAGGAAAUCACGAAUUUACCAACAUUCAAACUGACUCCAUUUUCGGGAAAUAACAUCUGUAACAAACAUAAACGUUAAGCUACUGGGGAUUCAUUUAUUUUCGUGGGUACCAAUUUUCGUGGAUACCUGAUUUCGUGGUUUUGCAAAAUUCAGAAUUCAACGUGAUAGAAAUUUGUAUUUCGUUGAACAUUUAAAUUCAUGGUUUUCCAGUAGCAACGAAAGACACGAAAACUAGUUCCCAUGAAUAAUAAUGAAUCCACAGUACUUCUUUACAAGCAAAACCACAUACAAUGAAAGUUCCAACGAUGUACUUGCAUCCGAAACUGCAUAAAACACCUUAUAAAUAUAGGUUGUUUUGUCAAGCCAUUGUUUCAAAACUAAACUGUCUAUUUUACUUACUCGUACACUUGAUACAAUCAAAUACCUGAUAAUAAAUUGUUCAAAUAAGGCCUUUAAAAAUUGUGGUAUUAACUUAUUUUGGACUGUAUUUCUUAAGAACUUGAUUUUGCAUGCUUAUAUAGAUGACUUUGAAUCUGUUCGAUUGUUUCUACCCUACAUACCGCUUUGUCUCAUAUUCCUAUUAAGAAAAUAUUUACAUAUCUAAUUAAAUGGACAAUUCAAAAGUCAGAAUGCGAAGAUAUAUGACCAAAGUCUUUUAGUGUCAUUUUUAGCUCACCUUUCCUAAAAGGAAAUGUGAGCUUUUGCCAUCACUUGGCGUCCGUCGUCGUCCGUCGUCGUCAUCCGUCGUCGUCGUAAACUAUUUCAAAGAUCUUCUCCUCUGAAACUACUGAACCAAUUACAACCAAACUUUAGCUGAAUGAUCCUUAGGGUAUCUAGAAUAAAGAGUGUGUUUUAUUUUCCAUUUUGUGAAAAAAACAUGGCCGCCAUGGCUAAAAAUAGAACAUGGGGAUAAAAUGCAGUUUUUGGCUUAUAUCUCAAAAACGAAAGCAUUUAGAGCAAAUCUGUCAUGGGGGUAAAAAUGUUCAUAAGGUCAAGAUCUAUCAGCCCUGAAAUUUUCAGAUGAAUCAAACAACCCAUUGUUGGGUUGCUGCCACUUAAUUGGUAAUUUUAAGGAAAUUUUGCAGUUUUUGGUCAUUAUCUUGAAUAUUAUUAUAGAUAAAGAUAAACUGUAAACAGCAAAAAUGAUCAGUAAAGUAAGAUCUACAAAUAAGUUAAUUAUGACCAAAAUUGUCAAUUGACCCCUUAAGGGGUUAUUGUCCUUUAAUGACAAUUUUUCACAAUUUGUUCAUCAUAUUUGCUAACUUAAAAAAAUGUUCUCCUCUAAAACUACUCAACCAAACUUCAACUGAAUGAUCAGUAGGGUGUAUAAAAUAAAGUUUGUGUUUUAUUUUCUAUUUCGUCAAAAACAUGGCCGUCAUGGCUAAAAAUAGAACACAGGGUAAAAUGCAGUUUUUGGCUUAUAUCUAAAAAACUCCAGCAUUUAGAGCAAAUAAGACAAGAAAGUUAAAGUAUUUAUUAGGUCAAGGUCUACCUGUCCUGAAAUUUUCAGCCGAAUUGGGUAACUGGUUUUUCAGGUAUAAUGCCCCUGAAUUGAUGAUUUUAAUGAAAUUUUGCAGUUUUUGGUUAUUAUCUUGAAUAUUAUUAUAGAUACAGAUAAACUGUUUAUAGCAAAAAUGUUAAGCAAAGUAAAAUCUACAAAAAAGUCAAUUUGACCAAAAUUGUCAAUUGACCCCUUAAGGAGUUAUUGCCCUUUAAAGACUUUUUUCACAAUUUCUUCAUCAUGUUGACUUACUUUAAAAAAAUCUUCUCCUUUGAAACUGCUGUAUCAAUUUCAGCCAAACUUAGGCUAAAUGAGUUUCAGAGUAUCUAGCAUAAAUUUUAUAUUUUAUUUCCUUGUAUGUCAAGAAACAUAGCUCCUAUGGCUAAAAUAGAACAUAGAAGAAAAUGAUUUUUUUUUUUUGGCUUUUGAAGAAAAUAGGACGAUUCAAAGAAACAUUAAAUAAAUUGAAAAGCCAAAAUAAUCGUUGAUGAGAGAUUUAACCAAAAAAAUUAAGGUGAGCGAUUCAGGCUCUUGAGAGCCUCUUGUUUAGUUACAACAAACAAAGGAACUACUUUAAUUGGACCUGCUUUCAUACUAAACCUGACCUUGAUUUUUUACUAGAUGACAUUUUUGUUUGCUUUGGAAACUUCGUAUAUCGUCAAGUUAUCGGAACUCCAAUGUACACUACUUAUUUCGGACCUGUUCCUAUAUUGUUAUGCAAAGACCUAUCAAAACAACAUCUGAUACAAAAACUUAAUAAAACGUCCCUUGAAAGUAUUUUGGGACACGUCCCGGUCGUACCUGGGACGAUUACCCGUGCUUUCGGCGUGUUUCCCUGAGCUAGUACAUAUGUUUUUUAUUUAUGGGAUAGCUGAGGCCCAACUCCGGAUGCGGGAUUUUCUCGCUGUAUUGAAGACCCACAGAUGGCCUUCUAUUGUUAUCUGCUCUUUGGUCGGGUUGUUGUCGGUUUGACAUAUUUCCUUUUCUUUUAUCAAUUUUAUUGUUCGUACUACUUCUGGAUACAAUCGGUGUUGUAAAUUUACGGACAUAUACCACUAUAUAAAAGUUUCAUUGAAUGUCAGAAUACGUUUUUGAUUCGCCAUGGGUGCGUUUUAUGCGUUCAAGGAGUGAACUCCAGGCGUAUGUUACAAACACGCCCCGCAUACGUCUAAGUCAAAGUUUUCCAACGCACUUGUACGUAAGUAUUACGUGCGUGUAGCGAACAGGUAUACGCUUGAAAAACGCUAGAGCUAGAUGAAAAUAGUUAUGCUGCAUAACUGUUUCCCGGAGUUAAAGCGUUUACCAAGCAUUUGUGCCUAUGCAUUUCGACGUACUUCAAACUUAUGAAACGUGCGUCUAACAACUGUUUAGCGUUCCUCUUGAGUGCACCUAGCAUAUACAUACUUUUCUCUGCAUCUCUGGUGCACGUCGGUCUGUACGCCAAUGCGUGACGCCGGUAUAAGCCUGGUACCUUGUACUUAUUUACACCACUGGGUCGAUGCCGCUGGUGGUUGACGUUUCGUACCUUACGGUAUCGCCCAGCCAAGUAGUCAGCACUUCCGUGUUGACAUCGACGUAAUGACGCAAAACAACUCUCUAUGGUGUCUAUAUUAAAGGAUACGCAUAUCCUGAUGUAUUGAUUUCAAGUAUAAUAAGAACAAAUGGUGAAAAUGUUAGAUUUGUUUUCAGUAUUGAACGUGUAUCUUAAGUAAGCGACUUCGCUCCAUUAUUGUAAAGGAAUAUGUUUUUGGACUUCAUGGUUUUUUUUCAAAUAACACGACAUGAUAAGCUUAAUACUUAUAUUUUCUUCUUCUUUUAUAGGAGAUUAAGUGGGAAGCAGGUGAUACAAUAAUCUUGACGGGGCAAAAAGAGAAAGCUAAACUACUAAAAUAUUUUGAGCCAUCAGAAACAACAUGUUCCAUUAAAGGUUUAGAAGAUGGAUUUGAUGCACUCAAGCAUAUAAAGGAGGACACUUUGAUUAUCUGCAGUCCCCUAACUAAUGAUGAACCAAACGGAAAAAGUAGCAAUAAAUAUUAUCAUUACUAUUCUCUCUUUUGUCAUAUGUUUAAACUAGAACGUUUAUUGAAUGAUCUCAAACCUAUAAAUAGAGCAACUUUGCUAAUAUGUAUUCCUUCUAAUACUGGUUCGUCAGGUUAUAUAAAAUGGGUACUUGAUAAUGAAAAGUUAAUAAGCAUGUACAAUCAGCGUCUCUUUGUUUUUACUGAUUGCAAUUGUUCAUGCAAACGAAAAAUUCCCGACGAACUACAACACAUAAGCACAGGAAAACCAAUUUUUCACGGACUUGAUGGAGAGGCGAUUGGAUUUUCUUUAACUUUUCUGAAACAUUAUGGAAAUUUGCGAUAUAGAGAAUUAUUCAUACAUUGGAUGUAUUUUUUUCUAGAUAUUGGCUGGGGUUGGACCUAUAGAGAAUUGGUCAAAACGUUCGUCAAAACUAGGUUCCCAUUCCUUAAGUUGAGUGGAUAAUUUUUCGUAAAAACCCAAUCAACAAAAAUAAACCUGGCAAAGGAUCAAUUUUGUUCGAACUUAGGCCAGGUCACUAUUUAUCCCUUCGUGUUUCAUUAAAUUUGCUAAUCAAAAACGUGCCGUUGCUUAAUUACUCUCACUUAUUAAUGCUCAUAGUUGAUUGGUAGUUGUUAACGAUUGAUAUGUGCUGCAUCGGCAGUCACACAACAUCUCUGGUUUCUAUACUCAAUCAUGAUAAUACAUUCAGUUC